rnacentral:rRNA from 1 species
CGAGCACGCGCGUGUGGCAUAUCAAUAAGCGGAGGAAAAGAAACUAACAAGGAUUCCCUUAGUAACGGCGAGUGAAGCGGGAAGAGCUCAAAUUUGAAAUCUUCAAGGUUCUACCUCGACGAAUUGUAGUUUAUAGAAGUGUUUUCUGUUAGUGGAGUGGCAAAAGUUCUUUGGAAUAGGACAUCAUAGAGGGUGAGAAUCCCGUAUUUGGUCAUUCCUCCUAGCGUUGUGAUACACUUUCAACGAGUCGGAUUGUUUGGGAAUGCAGUCCAAAAUGGGUGGUAAAUUUCAUCUAAAGCUAAAUAUUGGCGAGAGACCGAUAGCGAACAAGUACCGUGAGGGAAAGAUGAAAAGAACUUUGAAAAGAGAGUUAAACAGUACGUGAAAUUGUCAAAAGGGAAGCGUUUGACACCAGUGUUGUUUUUCCGAAAAUCAAUUACGAAUGUUUUAUUUUUGAGGAGUUAUGACUUCAUCGGCUUGCUUCUUUCUUUACGAAACUUUCUUAAUGCACUUUUCGGUUAACAAGUCAACAUCAAUUUCUUUUGCUGUAAAAGGGUACUGAGGAAGGUGGCUUUCUUUUCGGAGAAAGUGUUUAUAGCCUUGUAGCCUCUGCAAUCGGAGAGAUUGAGGUCUGCAGCGUAGAUCCUUCGGGGUUAGAUACAGUUUGUGCUAAGUUAUAGCUUUGUCAUAGACAACUUGUUGACUAUGCUCAGUCAUGUAGCUUACUCGCUGAUGCUAUUUUACCUACGCUUAGGAUGUUGAUGUGAUACUGCGAGCA